rnacentral:rRNA from 1 species
CCUACGGGGGGCUGCAGUGAGGAAUAUUGGUCAAUGGGCGAGAGCCUGAACCAGCCAAGUCGCGUGAAGGAUGACGGCCCUACGGGUUGUAAACUUCUUUUGUCAGGGAGCAAUUGGGUCCACGCGUGGGCGUAGCGAGAGUACCUGAAGAAAAAGCAUCGGCUAACUCCGGGCCAGCAGCCGCGGUAAUCCGGAGGUUGCGACCGUUAUCCGGAUUUAUUGGGUUUAAAGGGGGCGUAGGAGGAAUACCAAGUCAGCGGUAAAAAUCCGGGGCUCAACCCCGCCGUGCCGUUGAAACUGGUGUUCUUGAGUGGGCGAGAGGUAGGCGGAAUUCGUGGUGUAGCGGUGAAAUGCAUAGAUAUCACGCAGAACUCCGAUUGCGAAGGCAGCAUACCGGCGCCCAACUGACGCUGAAGCACGAAAGCGUGGGUAUCGAACAGGAUUAGAUACCCGUGUAGUC